rnacentral:rRNA from 1 species
AGUGAACGCUGGCGGUAGGCCUAACACAUGCAAGUCGAACGGCAGCACAGUAAGAGCUUGCUCUUACGGGUGGCGAGUGGCGGACGGGUGAGGAAUACAUCGGAAUCUACUUUUCGGUGGGGGAUAACGAAGGGAAACUACGCUUAUUCCCCCAUCCGCCUUCCGGUGGAAGGAGGGGGAUCUUCGGCCUUUCGCGGAUGGAUUGGGCCGAUGUCGGAUUAGCUAGUUGGCGGGGUAAAGGCCCACCAAGGCGACGAUCCGUAGCUGGUCUGAGAGGAUGAUCAGCCACACUGGAACUGAGACACGGUCCAGACUCCUACGGGAGGCAGCAGUGGGGAAUAUUGGACAAUGGGCGCAAGCCUGAUCCAGCCAUACCGCGUGGGUGAAGAAGGCCUUCGGGUUGUAAAGCCCUUUUGUUGGGAAAGAAAAGCAGCAGGUUAAUACCCCGCUGUUCUGACGGUACCCAAAGAAUAAGCACCGGCUAACUUCGUG